rnacentral:tRNA from 1 species
CAUUAGAUGGCUGAAAAUUAAGCAAUGGUCUCUUAAACCAAUAUAUAGUAGUAAUUACUUCUAAUGA